UACGGAGGGUGCAAGCGUUAUCCGGAUUCACUGGGUUUAAAGGGUGCGUAGGUGGGCUGGUAAGUCAGUGGUGAAAUCUCCGGGCUUAACUCGGAAACUGCCGUUGAUGCUAUCAGUCUUGAAUAUUGUGGAGGUAAGCGGAAUAUGUCAUGUAGCGGUGAAAUGCUUAGAUAUGACAUAGAACACCGAUAGCGAAGGCAGCUUGCUACACAAUUAUUGACACUGAGGCUCGAAAGCGUGGGGAUCAAACAGG
rnacentral:rRNA from 1 species